GAUGAACGCUGGCGGCGUGCCUAAUACAUGCAAGUCGAACGAAAGCACGAGAAGAUUGUUCCUCUACCGUUGGCGGCGGGCGGGCGGGUAAGGAAUGGAUCACCUUCCUCUUUGUCUGGGGUGAUUACGGGAGGAAGCUGCUGCUAAUGGCUAAUAUAUUCUACCGCUUAGUUCAAUAGUGCUUCGCAGUUUUCCCGUCUCAUUUAGCUGGAUUCGGGGCGGAUUAGCGAGUUGGUAAGGUAACGGCUCACCAAGGCUACGAUGCGUAGCUGACCUGAGAGGAUGAUCGGCCACACUGGAACUGAGACACGGUCCAGACUCCUACGGGAGGCAGCAGUGGGGAAUAUUGGACAAUGGGCGAAAGCCUGAUCCAGCAAUACCGCGUGGGUGAAGAAGGCCUUCGGGUUGUAAAGCCCUUUUGUUGGGAAAGAAAAGCAGCAGGUUAAUACCCCGCUGUUCUGACGGUACCCAAAGAAUAAGCAACGGCUAACUUCGUG
rnacentral:rRNA from 1 species